GAUUUGUUUUCAAUUCUGGGGCAUAGACUAGCCCUUUAGCCCCUACCUUCUUCACACCCUUUUCCUAUCAAUGGAAAGUCCUGGCCACCAGGUGCCACUGCAGUUUAAUAACAACAAUGACUGCCAUGGUUAGUGCACGGUUAGUUGCUGUUUUUCACGUUUCGAUGCAGUAUAAAGUGAACUAUUAAACAUUUCAAAAAGUUUGUUAAAUAGCAUAAUGUAAUGUGGUAAAGCAGAUUAAGUGUGAAACCAACAUUAUAGUGAGAUCCUUGUGAAAGGAAAAUAGCAUGAUCCAGGCUGUUCUUCAAUUGCAAAGAAAGAGAAUAAUGAUUGAAACAAAUGCAAAAUAUCCAACUGGAAUUCUCUUCAUAUUUGUGUAUUCGUGGUAAUUUUGGAAAACAUUCUUUCCAGAGAAUAACACCUUAAAAUAAAUAACUGUGGUUAUGAUAAUGUAGCAGUAUUGCUUGAAUCCGUCGCCACCUUUCCAUAGACUGACCCAUUGGAUGGUGAAACUGACGAGAGAAUGCUGUUAUUCAAGACCACUAAAUUGUUUAGUUGUUAGAUAAAUUACAAGUGCAUAUCUGGGCUCCCUUCUUUUCUGUGGCCCCGUUUCCCUAACUAACCACUAACCAACGCCCGCCGGUGGUCACUCACCCGCUGUGAAACCAGGAGGAG